rnacentral:rRNA from 1 species
UACGAAGGGGGCUAGCGUUGCUCGGAAUCACUGGGCGUAAAGCGCACGUAGGCGGAUUGUUAAGUCAGGGGUGAAAUCCUGGAGCUCAACUCCAGAACUGCCUUUGAUACUGGCGAUCUCGAGUCCGGGAGAGGUGAGUGGAACUGCGAGUGUAGAGGUGAAAUUCGUAGAUAUUCGCAAGAACACCGGUGGCGAAGGCGGGUCUCUGGGCCGAUACUGACGCUGAGGAGCGAAAGCAUGGGGAGCGAACGGG